AUAGAUACCCCGGUAGUCCAUGCCGUAAACGUUGGGAACUAGAUGUAGGGUCCAUUCCACGGAUUCUGUGUCGCAGCUAACGCAUUAAGUUCCCCGCCUGGGGAGUACGGCCGCAGGGCUAAAACUCAAAGGAAUUGACGGGGGCCCGCACAAGCGGCGGAGCAUGCGGAUUAAUUCGAUGCAACGCGAAGAACCUUACCAAGGCUUGACAUAUACCGGAAACGGCUGGAAACAGUCGCCCCGCAAGGUCGGUAUACAGGUGGUGCAUGGUUGUCGUCAGCUCGUGUCGUGAGAUGUUGGGUUAAGUCCCGCAACGAGCGCAACCCUCGUUCUUUGUUGCCAGCACGUCAUGGUGGGAACUCAAAGGAGACUGCCGGGGUCAACUCGGAGGAAGGUGGGGAUGGACGCCAAAUCAUCAUGCCCCUUAUGUCUUGGGCUUCACGCAUGCUACAAUGGCCGGUACAAAGGGCUGCAAUACCGUAAGGUGGAGCGAAUCCCAAAAGCCGGUCUCAGUUCGGAUUGAGGUCUGCAACUCGACCUC
rnacentral:rRNA from 1 species